rnacentral:tRNA from 1 species
GGCGGUGUAGUUCAGUGGU